rnacentral:misc_RNA from 1 species
GGCAAUUAAUAUUUUCUUGGGUUCAACAUGGGCAAAAGGGUAAAUCAGAAACUCCCUAAUUCAUUAAUGUUUUUUUACAACAGUGUCAGAUCUUUGCAUCUCCUUUUUGAUCUUUGGAAUCUAACUUCACUAUUCCUCACCAUUAAACGACAAAAGCUAGGAAAAUAAAACGUGUCUCUUAUAUCUGCACUGCACAUGCUCCCUCCAACUCCUCAAAAACCCCAACAUACGUUAUUAAUAAAAUUGAAUAUUUAUAUAAAUAUAAUAGACAAGAUUCCAAAAAUAAAUAAAUAAAAUUCUAUUCCACUAAGAAAGUGUUCUUGUUUAGCUUAACUUCUCAAGGCCAUGACCUUAUGACCUCUUUUUUCUUGGAUUUCUUAUCCCAGUCAAAUCACAACUUGUAUUGUUUCUUUCUCUGGACUUUAUU